GGCGAGUUACGAUUUGUUGCAAGGUUAAGCGGAAAAAGCGGAGCCGUAGCGAAAGCGAGUCUGAAUAGGGCGCAUAAGUAACAGGUCGUAGACCCGAAACCAGGUGAUCUACCCAUGUCCAGGAUGAAGGUAAGGUAAUACUUACUGGAGGUCCGAACCCACGCACGUUGAAAAGUGCGGGGAUGAGGUGUGGGUAGCGGAGAAAUUCCAAUCGAACUUGGAGAUAGCUGGUUCUCUCCGAAAUAGCUUUAGGGCUAGCCUCGAGGUAAAGAGUCAUGGAGGUAGAGCACUGUUUGGACUAGGGGCCCUUCUCGGGUUACCGAAUUCAGAUAAACUCCGAAUGCCAUGUACUUAUACUCGGGAGUCAGACUGCGAGUGAUAAGAUCCGUAGUCGAAAGGGAAACAGCCCAGACCACCAGUUAAGGUCCCCAAAUAUAUGUUAAGUGGAAAAGGAUGUGGGGUUGCUUAGACAACCAGGAUGUUGGCUUAGAAGCAGCCACCAUUGAAAGAGUGCGUAAUAGCUCACUGGUCGAGUGACCCCGCGCCGAAAAUGUACCGGGGCUAAACAUAUUACCGAAACUGUGGAUGAACCUCUUUAGAGGUUCGUGGUAGGAGAGCGUUCUAAGGGCGGUGAAGUCAGACCGGAAGGACUGGUGGAGCGCUUAGAAGUGAGAAUGCCGGUAUGAGUAGCGAAAGAAGGGUGAGAAUCCCUUCCACCGAAUAUCUAAGGUUUCCUGAGGAAGGCUCGUCCGCUCAGGGUUAGUCGGGACCUAAGCCGAGGCCGAUAGGCGUAGGCGAUGGACAACAGGUAGAGAUUCCUGUACCAGUGCUAAUUGUUUAACCGAUGGGGUGACACAGAAGGAUAGGGAAUCGCACGAAUGGAAAUGUGCGUCCAAGCAGUGAGUGUGAGAAGUAGGCAAAUCCGCUUCUCGCGAAGCAUGAGCUGUGAUGGGGAAGGAAAUUAAGUACGGAAGUUCCUGAUUUCACGCUGUCAAGAAAAGCCUCUAGGAAGAGUAGUACUGCCCGUACCGCAAACCGACACAGGUAGAUGAGGAGAGAAUCCUAAGGUGAGCGAGAGAACUCUCGUUAAGGAACUCGGCAAAAUGACCCCGUAACUUCGGGAGAAGGGGUGCUCUAUUAGGGUGCAAGCCCGAGAGAGCCGCAGUGAAUAGGCCCAGGCGACUGUUUAGCAAAAACACAGGUCUCUGCAAAACCGUAAGGUGACGUAUAGGGGCUGACGCCUGCCCGGUGCUGGAAGGUUAAGAGGAGUGCUUAGCUUCGGCGAAGGUACGAAUUGAAGCCCCAGUAAACGGCGGCCGUAACUAUAACGGUCCUAAGGUAGCGAAAUUCCUUGUCGGGUAAGUUCCGACCCGCACGAAAGGCGCAACGAUCUGGGCACUGUCUCAACGAGAGACUCGGUGAAAUUAUAGUACCUGUGAAGAUGCAGGUUACCCGCGACAGGACGGAAAGACCCCGUGGAGCUUUACUGCAACCUGAUAUGGAAUGUUUGUACCGCUUGUACAGGAUAGGUAGGAGCCGAAGAGACGUGUGCGCUAGCAUACGAGGAGGCAAUGGUGGGAUACUACCCUGGCUGUAUGACCAUUCUAACCCGCCACGCUUAGCGCGUGGGGAGACAGUGUCAGGUGGGCAGUUUGACUGGGGCGGUCGCCUCCUAAAGAGUAACGGAGGCGCCCAAAGGUUCCCUCAGAAUGGAUGGAAAUCAUUCGCAGAGUGUAAAGGCACAAGGGAGCUUGACUGCGAGACUGACAAGUCGAGCAGGGACGAAAGUCGGGCUUAGUGAUCCGGUGGUUCCGCAUGGAAGGGCCAUCGCUCAACGGAUAAAAGCUACCCCGGGGAUAACAGGCUUAUCUCCCCCAAGAGUCCACAUCGACGGGGAGGUUUGGCACCUCGAUGUCGGCUCGUCGCAUCCUGGGGCUGUAGUCGGUCCCAAGGGUUGGGCUGUUCGCCCAUUAAAGCGGCACGCGAGCUGGGUUCAGAACGUCGUGAGACAGUUCGGUCCCUAUCCGUCGCGGGCGCAGGAAAUUUGAGAGGAGCUGUCCUUAGUACGAGAGGACCGGGAUGGACACACCGCUGGUGUACCAGUUGUUCCGCCAGGAGCAUCGCUGGGUAGCUAUGUGUGGCAGGGAUAAACGCUGAAAGCAUCUAAGCGUGAAGCCCCCCUCAAGAUGAGAUUUCCCAUUUCUUCGGAAAGUAAGAUCCCUGAAAGAUGAUCAGGUAGAUAGGUUUGGAGUGGAAGUGUAGCGAUACAUGGAGCGGACAAAUACUAAUCGAUCGAGGACUUAACCAAAA
rnacentral:rRNA from 1 species